CGUUGUGUAGUAUAUUGUAGUACAAAAGGUUGUAACUCUUUAGGAACUAGCUUAAGUCGCAAUGA
rnacentral:tRNA from 1 species